UUCUCAUUCCGGGUAGUAGCUCCGAUUUUUUUAGUCGGGGAGGAAAGUCCGAACACACAUCAGUUUAAUUUGAGAUAGUAGCGGGUAAUACCCGUCGUCCGCAAGGAUAGAGGUGCGAACAGAAACGCUCAAACCGAAAGGGGAGAGAUUCCUUCGGGAAUUGUCAUGCAGAAAUGUAUGGAUGCAACGGCUAAAUCCUUACUUGUGUGCAAGGCCGUGUCCGCUCAAAAAGCGGAAGUGCCGCUUGAUCUCUCUGGUAACAGACGAGACAGAUAAAUUACUACAAUCAAAACAGAAUUCGGCUUACGAGAAUGAGAACCUG
rnacentral:RNase_P_RNA from 2 species